rnacentral:lncRNA from 1 species
UCCCAUCUCCUGGAGGCUCCAGGCAUCCUGAGCUCCUGGCUGCACCUACUCCCCACCACCGCCUCCAUCCUCGCAUGGCAGCUCCUGUCUCCUGUCUCAAAUCUCCUUCUGCAUUUCUCUUAUAAGGACACUUGCUGUUGGGUUUAAGGCCCACACUAAUCCAGUGUCUCACCUUAAGAUCCUUACUAAUCACAUAUUCAAAGACCCUGUUUCUAAGCAAGAUCACAACCCCAGGUCCAGGGGGACAGAACUUGGACCUGUCCUGUGGGGCCUCCUCAGCCUCCCACACACCCCUCGGUGCUUGUAACGGUCUCUGUCCUGGUCAGGAGGCAGCCCAGGAUUCACGCAGAGCCUGUGCCUCUCAGGCGGGCUGUUGCUGCCCUGGGUCUGCCAUGUCGCUCAUGGGACUGCAUUGGAUUGUUACGUGCCUGGCCCCUCUCUGAGCUGUGGUGCCUCGAGAGGCAGCUGUGACCUACUGGCCUUCACAUCUCCCCAUGGAGGGGACAUUGUUACAGGCGCCUUGAGCAGCCUGGGGAGGGGAGUGGGGGCCGGGAACCUGGAAGGGGAGGAGGGUGCCCCAGGCCUCGGGGCACAGUGACUCCCUCGCCCCACAGACAUCCAGUACCAGGAGAACUUCUAUGCCUGGAGCGCCCCGGGGGUCGGCCGGUUUGUGGCCUCCAUGGCCGCCUCAGGGUGCGCCUACCUCAUCCUGCUCUUCCUCAUCGAGACCAACCUGCUUCAGAGACUCAGGGGCAUCCUCUGCGCCCUCCGGAGGAGGCGGACACUGAAUUAUACACCCGGAUGCCUGUGCUUCCUGAGGACCAAGAUGUAGCGGACGAGAGGACCCGCAUCCUGGCCCCCAGUCCGGACUCCCUGCUCCACACACCUCUGAUUAUCAAG